AUGGACGCCUACAAGUACAUCCAGGAGCUGUGGUGGAAGCAGCUGUCGAAUGUCAUGUGUUUUCCUGCUGCGGGCGCACUACCAGCAGCACCGCUAGCUCUCGGCACUGUGCCGGCCGUGCCCCACGCAGCCAGACAAGGCGUGCAGGCUGGGCUAUAAGGCCAAGCAAGGUUACGUCAUCCACAGGAUCCGCAUGCGUUGGGCGGCUGCAAAUGCCCAGUUCCCAAGGGCACAAGCCUGUGCACCACAGCAUCACCAGUUCAAGUUAGCCUGCAGCCUGCAGUCCAUGGCCAAGGAGCGAGCUGGACAUCACUGUGGGGCUCUAAGAGUCCUGAAUUCCUACUGGGUUGGUGAAGAUUCCACAUAUAAAUUUUUUGAGGUUAUCCUCAUGGAUCCAUUCCAUAAAGCCAUCAGAAGAAAUCCAGACACCCAGUGGAUCACCAAGCCAGUCCACAAGCACCAGAUGUGUGGGCUGACAUCGGCCAGGCGCAAGAGCCAUGGCCUUGGGAAGGGCCACAAGUUCCACCACACCAUUGGUGGCUCCCAGCACGCUGCCAGGAGGAGGCACAACACUCUGCAGCUGCACCACUAUGCUAACCCAAGUUUCUUUUGUAAAAGCCCCAUCAAUAAACAAUGA